AGGAUAACAGUUUUAUAACAUUUAAUUUGCACUUAAAAAACAUCAGAAAUCUGAUUUAUCUUA
rnacentral:tRNA from 1 species